rnacentral:rRNA from 1 species
AACGCGAAGAACCUUACCUGGGCUCGAAAUGCUAUGGACCAGCUGAUGAAAGUCGGCCUUCCCGCAAGGGACCGUAGUAUAGGUGCUGCAUGGCUGUCGUCAGCUCGUGCCGUGAGGUGUUGGGUUAAGUCCCGCAACGAGCGCAACCCUUACUCGUAGUUGCCACCCGCAAGGGGGAACUCUACGAGGACUGCUCCGGAUAACGGAGAGGAAGGUGGGGAUGACGUCAAGUCAGCACGGCCUUUAUGUCCAGGGCUACACACGUGUUACAAUGCAUGGUACAGACUGUUGCGAACCCGCGAGGGGGAGCUAAUCGGACAAAGCCAUGCUCAGUUCGGAUUGCAGUCUGCAACUCGGCUGCAUGAAGCUGGAAUCGCUAGUAAUGGCGCAUCAGAUCGGCGCCGUGAAUACGUUCCCGGGCCUUGUACACACCGGCUAC